CAGAACGAACGCUGGCGGCAUGCCUAACACAUGCAAGUCGAACGAGACCUUCGGGGUCUAGUGGCGCACGGGUGCGUAACGCGUGGGAAUCUGCCCUGGGGUGCGGAAUAACUCGGAGAAAUCCGUGCUAAUACCGCAUAAUGUCUUCGGACCAAAGAUUUAUCGCCCUGGGAUGAGCCCGCGUAGGAUUAGCUAGUUGGUGGGGUAAAGGCCUACCAAGACGACGAUCCUUAGCUGGUCUGAGAGGAUGAUCAGCCACACUGGGACUGAGACACGGCCCAGACUCCUACGGGAGGCAGCAGUGGGGAAUAUUGGACAAUGGGCGAAAGCCUGAUCCAGCAAUGCCGCGUGAGUGAUGAAGGCCCUAGGGUUGUAAAGCUCUUUUACCCGGGAUGAUAAUGACAGUACCGGGAGAAUAAGCUCCGGCUAACUCCGUG
rnacentral:rRNA from 1 species